rnacentral:tRNA from 1 species
GGCUGUAGCUCAGUGGCAGAGCACUUGCCUAGCAUGCGUGAGGCACUGGGUUCAAUCCUCAGCACCA